rnacentral:other from 1 species
UUGUCCCUGCUGUGUUCGUGACCAGGUCAUAUAUUCUCUGAACCAAUGCUUUGGCAUACAUAGGUUGUGGGAUAGCCCGACGGGAAUGCGCGUCUCUAGUCAGAUGCGCUCGAAGUCAGGCAGAUCGCGGCCAACUUGAACCCUAGGUUCGAGAUGCCGGCCUGAACGGCACGAGCGGGGCAUCU